rnacentral:tRNA from 1 species
GGUUAGAGUGCUAGGUUGUGAUUCUAGUUGUCAUGGGUUCAAAUCCCAUUAUUC